CGCAUCUGUGCAUGCAGCAUAUCAAUAAGCGGAGGAAAAGAAACUAACAAGGAUUCCCCUAGUAACGGCGAGUGAAGCGGGAAGAGCUCAAAUUUGAAAUCUUAAAGGGUUUCCCUUUACGAAUUGUAGUUUAAAGAAGUGUUUUCUGUUGAGGUUUUGGUAAAAGUUCUUUGGAAUAGGACAUCAUAGAGGGUGAGAAUCCCGUAUUUGACCUUUACUUUCAACUUUGUGAUACACUUUCAAAGAGUCGGAUUGUUUGGGAAUGCAGUCCAAAAUGGGUGGUAAAUUUCAUCUAAAGCUAAAUAUUGGCGAGAGACCGAUAGCGAACAAGUACCGUGAGGGAAAGAUGAAAAGAACUUUGAAAAGAGAGUUAAACAGUACGUGAAAUUGUCAAAAGGGAAGCGUUUGACACCAGUGUUGUUUUUCUGAAAAUCAAUUAAAGAACUGUUUAUGCUAAGCUGUUUAGACUUUAUCAGCUAAUCUGUUUAGUUUUGAGCUUUUCUUUAAUGCACUUUUCAGUUAACAAGUCAACAUCAAUUUCUUUUGCUGUAAAAAAGCUUGAGGAAGGUGGCUUGAGAUUCGUCUUAAGUGUUUAUAGCCUCUUGCCUAUGCAGUCGGAGAGAUUGAGGUCUGCAGCGUAGAUCCUUCGGGGCUGAAUGCAUUUGUGCUAAGUUAUAGCAUUUUAUAGACAACUUGUUGACUAUGAUUUGUCUUGUAGCUUACUCGCUUAUGUUAUUUUACCUACGCUUAGGAUGUUGAGUAGCGACAUACGCAC
rnacentral:rRNA from 1 species